rnacentral:ribozyme from 1 species
UUUUUUUUUUUUUUUUUUUUUUUUUUUUUUUUUUGUU